rnacentral:tRNA from 1 species
UGGUUAGAAUACCGGCCUGUCACGCCGGGGGUCGCGGGUUCGAGUCCCGUCCGCACCG